CUAAAGUGUCUCAAUUCAGUUCUAACUAAUACUUGAUUCUUGUAUGAAUAAUAGUUAUAACCAAGGUUCGCAAUACCGUACCGUACCGGUAUUUUGACUUGGGCUCGGUACCGGUACGGUACGGUAUACUGAGCGGUACACCCAGGUGUACCGAGCGGUACACCUGGGUGUAUCGAGUACUGAAGCACUGCUACAGUGCUACAGUAACUGCUACGCUACAGUGCUCGGACCGGUAACAGUCGAUCCGCGUACCGAAAACCUAUCGGACCGGUACGUACCGCCCGUACCGGGCGGUACGACUCAGUACGGCAACCCCUGGUUAUAACCAAGGUAUCAAACACCACCAGUACCAGUUGGUAUGGUCUGGAGUUUAUCAGUCCAACAGUCAAUUAGGACAUGAGCAAAGCAAUUUCGUCCGGUUCAGUCUGAUAUGGCCUGUACUGCUCAGUAAGUUUUACCGAGCGUAAAUAGCUUUGUGUAGGUCAAUACCGAGCGGCAAGCCUCCCACCAGUACAUGUAAUUUUUUCUAAAUUUUUACUAGUUGUAUUGACAGGCCAGCUGUAUCAUUUUUCCUUUUUCCCAGAUCCCCCCAUCAUGCUAUCUCGUUCUCUUUUUCUCAUGCAUUCUCUCCAUCCCCCUCCUCCAAUUGCCACCUCUUCCUCUUUCUCACCAUGUCGCCACAAACACCUCCACCCUGCCGCAUCACCACUGUCUCCUCUUCCUCUUCCACCCCUUGUUCCACCAAUUCUCCUCUUUUCCUCUUUUGCCUUCUCCUCCACUGAUUAUCUGCUUCCUUCUCCUCCUCUCUCCUCCUGAAUGUUGGUACAUCAGGCUGUAUUGAAACCAUCUCCUCUUCCUCUUCCAUCCCUUGUUCCACCAAUUCUCCUCUUUUCCUCUUUUGCCUUCUCCUCCACUGAUUAUCCUCUUCCUUCUCCUCCUCCUCUCUCCUCCUGAAUGUUGGUACAUCAGGCUGUAUCGAAACCAUACCAGUCAGGCCACCAACUGGUAUGGACACCCAAAUGAGACUUUAAGCCUUUGGACGUGACAAAGCAAACCAUCUAAAAUUUUCACUAUGAUUUAUACUCCAUACCUGUAAUAAGUAUAAACUUUAAUACAAAAAUGUCCUGUAAAACAUACUAAAGAAUCUUAUUAUUAAUGUUGCAGAACAAAUUUUAUAUCUGACAGGCCCCUCCGAAUGACACACAGGUUGCUGUAAAGUUGAUUCUUCUACUACUUUCAUUGAAUACAUUCCCUUGAGGUUUAAAGCAUGGACAAAAUCUACCAGACAGCACAUCAUUAUAACCAUCAUAACUGAUACAUUUCAAGCAGUAACACGAGUUGGUUAUUUGCAAGUGGUCUUACAUAAAAUAAGAAGAAACUAACAUAAAGACUUUAGAGUAAGCAUUUAUAAUGCACAAACUAAGGUCAUAAGAUGGCUGUUAUCUACUUCAAGAAAACAACAAGGCCAUAAACAAAAUUUGAUUGCAAAUGAUUCCAGAUGAUAACCACAUUGCAAAGGAUCUGUUGAGCAAUGAGAAGCAUAAAAAAAAGGAAAUGGUAGAGAUGAUAUUUUAAGGCAACAUCUGGGAAAAUUAGGAAAGCAAAGGUGGAUGUGUAACAACAUAAUCACCAGAUACAUGAAUCAAACAAAGAAGAUAUAUAAUUGACAAAGAUCAAUCGGCAGGUACAAAUUGCAAACAAUACCGUAGGAGGGUAAGAAUCAGGCAGAGCUGCAUAAGUUACAUGUUUAGAGGUAAUAGGAUUGAGUCUGCUAACAAAAAUGAUGCCAUACCCUUUAGGGGAAUAAUGAAGAUUAACAUAG
rnacentral:lncRNA from 1 species